AGCCUAAGGAAAUAAUAUUUUAGGUAAGCUCUGCCCAGUGAAUUUUUAACGGCCGCGGUAUCCUGACCGUGCAAAGGUAGCACAAUCACUUGCCCUUUAAUUAGGGGCUGGAAUGAAUGAGUAAACGAGAAUUAUUCUGUCUCUCAAGUAUUUAUAAAAACUAGCCUACAGGUGAAGAGACCUGUAUUUUUCUAAAAGACAAAAAGACCCCGUCGAGCUUUAAUAUAUAAAAAAUAAAAAAUUUUAUCUUUUUUAAAUAUUUUUGUUGGGGCGACAAAGGAAUAAAAAAAUCUUCCUAAAAAAAAAGAAAUCAAUUCAAAUAAAUGAUCCUACAAAUGAACAUCGAUAUAGCUACCGCAGGGAUAACAGACUUAUUUUUUCAAAGAGUUCAAAUCAAAGAAAAAGUUUGGCACCUCGAUGUUGGCUUAGGAAUUCUUUUUAGGCGCAAAAGCUAAAAAAGAGGGUGUGUUCACCCCUUAAUAU
rnacentral:rRNA from 1 species